rnacentral:lncRNA from 10 species
CAAGGAUAUGACCUAGCAAGUCUGAAUGCACUUUCUCAUUUUUCUCAUAUUUUCACAUUUAUCUCUCCUUCAUUCAGAAGCAUUUGUCAAUCUGCCUCUAUCCAUGGCAGCCCUUCUUAUUUUAAUGUUCUCACUCUUACCCACAAACUAAAUUUACAUUUCUUGCUGUUAUAAAUUUUAUAUUUUUGUGUGUGGAGAAACAUUCCAUCAAGAAGACUGAAGCCCAGUAAACUCCCAAAGACAAGACUUUCAGAAGGCUGCUUGCUUCACUAUGGGUCCUAAGGUUACACAGGAAGGCUUCUGCCAGACACUUUCUGCCAGGUUUCCAAUGGCAGGUAUGGUCAAGAGAGACACUGGAAGAUGGAAGUUACUUCAGUGUUCCAGUUGCUGGUGUAGCCAGGGCUUCACAGCGUGGAAGUAUGGCAUCAUGAUGUCUACUGCACAUCUAUUCCCAACCCCAUAUUCAGUUGUUUCAUGUAGUCUCUUGAAAUCUAUGGAAACUAGAAAACACUACAAAUAAAGCCUUGAUUUAUUGUUUUGUUGAUUGUCUUGACUUAAGAAACUGAUAGACAAUGUGUUAUUAAUGCAGAUUAAACUUAAAAAUGUUUACCUCAGUGGCCGUUAUACUGUGAAUACCACAAAAACUGAGCAAAUAUUUUUCUAGUAUUUGAAAAGUAUUAUCCAAUUCAGCAAAUAAUGUCACUUUUAAGUGAAUAAAGUAUGGGCAUGCCUUCAUUGCUUUAGUUUCUUGUUACUUGUAAACAC